rnacentral:rRNA from 1 species
GACGAACGCUGGCGGCGUGCUUAACACAUGCAAGUCGAACGGUAAGGCCCUUCGGGGUACGCGAGUGGCGAACGGGUGAGUAACACGUGGGUAAUCUGCCCUGCACAUCGGGAUAAGCCUGGGAAACUGGGUCUAAUACCGAAUAGGACCACAGGACACAUGUCCUGUGGUGGAAAGCUUUUGCGGUGUGGGAUGGGCCCGCGGCCUAUCAGCUUGUUGGUGGGGUGAUGGCCUACCAAGGCGACGACGGGUAGCCGGCCUGAGAGGGUGUCCGGCCACACUGGGACUGAGAUACGGCCCAGACUCCUACGGGAGGCAGCAGUGGGGAAUAUUGCACAAUGGGCGAAAGCCUGAUGCAGCGACGCCGCGUGGGGGAUGACGGCCUUCGGGUUGUAAACCUCUUUCACCAUCGACGAAGGUCCGGGUGUUCUCGGGCUGACGGUAGGUGGAGAAGAAGCACCGGCCAACUACGUG